rfam:Rhizobiales bacterium 68-8 SCNpilot_expt_1000_bf_scaffold_2565, whole genome shotgun sequence.
CCGUUCAACUCGUCCCUUCCUCGAAAGGGACUACGGGAG